GUUUGUUUGUUUUUUUUUUUUUUUAAUUUUAUGUUUUGUUUUUGUGUUUCUGAUAAGUAGUUCUUUCUGUAACAUGCUCACCGCGAGAGACGUUGGAAUCAUGUUUUUGCUACAAUGACUGCUGUGACUAGUUUUUUUUUCGAAAGUUUUUGAUCAAAUGAUAUGCGUAAAUAAAUAUGCAUUUACUUUUCUAAAAUAUAAUGUUUGUCUACACCAACAGAAAUAAUUUUUAUCUAUCGCGAGAACAAGUGCAUAACCUUCUGAGACAGGAGCUGCGUGGCCGCAAGGUUUUAGAGUCUGCUUUGUCAAGCUUUGUCGGUCGAUAUCAAAAAUGAAUAAACAUGGGUUUAUUCUCAGGUUCCCCCAUCACUUACUUUUUCUUUACGUUCAAUUCUAUAAUACCUUUGUGUGAAUUUCUCUUAACAAAAAUAUAACUUGAUUUUAGUUGAAAAGUAUUGCAGUUUUAGAAAUAUCUUGCAUUCAUUCCUAGGGUCCAAUGAAAAACAAUAAGAAAGCAAACUAUUUUACUACCGGAAACACCCGACUUUGCAGUCUUCAUGUUAAUUACGAGCGAGAUCUGUACGCGGCCGUAGUCACAGGAAGCUGAGGUCUAUACCGGGUGCGCUGGAAGCUUCCAAUGCCGAACUUGAGUGAAACAUACCAGCACGAGAGCAUGAAAGAGAGACUGCUGCUGCUGGACUACUGCUGCUGUUGGGACCACUGUUGCUGCUGGGACUAUUGCUACUGCUGCUGGGACUAUUGCUACUGCUGCUGGGACUAUUGCUACUGCUGCUGGGACUGCUGCCGAGUUGUUGCCUCCAAGCAGUUCUGUGGAAACUCUAGGUACAACUAUUACUACAUGGUCCAACGAUCAACUGUAAAGCUCAGAAAUAUUCAAAGGGAUCGGUAAACUUGCUUCAGCGGGAGAACCUGGACUGAUUCGAAAAAUUAAGCGAUUGCGACAUCGAUCGGGCAAGCAAGCCUACACAAUCGGAACGCUGCAUUCAUACACAUAUCCUGUUGUUACCAGAAAAUGAUUUAUUUAAAGAACAAACAAAAUAAAAUUCAAUGU